rnacentral:misc_RNA from 1 species
GGAAGGCCCUUUUCAGGGCCACCC